UACAGAGGUGGCAAGCGUUGUUCGGAAUUACUGGGCGUAAAGGGCGCGUAGGCGGCUUGUCGCGUCGGCUGUGAAAACCUGGGGCUCAACCCCGGGCCUGCAGCCGAUACGGGCAGCUAGAAUUCGGUAGGGGAGACUGGAAUUCCUGGUGUAGCGGUGAAAUGCGCAGAUAUCAGGAGGAACACCGGUGGCGAAGGCGGGUCUCUGGGCCGAAAUUGACGCUGAGGAGCGAAAGCGUGGGGAGCAAACAGG
rnacentral:rRNA from 1 species